rnacentral:rRNA from 1 species
GGUAUAGACCCGAAACCCGGUGAUCUAGCCAUGGGCAGGUUGAAGGUUGGGUAACACUAACUGGAGGACCGAACCGACUAAUGUUGAAAAAUUAGCGGAUGACUUGUGGCUGGGGGUGAAAGGCCAAUCAAACCGGGAGAUAGCUGGUUCUCCCCGAAAGCUAUUUAGGUAGCGCCUCGUGAACUCAUCUUCGGGGGUAGAGCACUGUUUCGGCUAGGGGGUCAUCCCGACUUACCAACCCGAUGCAAACUACGAAUACCGAAGAAUGUUAUCACGGGAGACACACGGCGGGUGCUAACGUCCGUCGUGAAGAGGGAAACAACCCAGACCGCCAGCUAAGGUCCCAAAGUCAUGGUUAAGUGGGAAACGAUGUGGGAAGGCACAGACAGCCAGGAUGUUGGCUUAGAAGCAGCCAUCAUUUAAAGAAAGCGUAAUAGCUCACUGGUCGAGUCGGCCUGCGCGGAAGAUGUAACGGGGCUAAACCAUGCACCGAAGCUGCGGCAGCGACACUAUGUGUUGUUGGGUAGGGGAGCGUUCUGUAAGCCUGCGAAGGUGUGCUGUGAGGCAUGCUGGAGGUAUCAGAAGUGCGAAUGCUGACAUAAGUAACGAUAAAGCGGGUGAAAAGCCCGCUCGCCGGAAGACCAAGGGUUCCUGUCCAACGUUAAUCGGGGCAGGGUGAGUCGACCCCUAAGGCGAGGCCGAAAGGCGUAGUCGAUGGGAAACAGGUUAAUAUUCCUGUACUUGGUGUUACUGCGAAGGGGGGACGGAGAAGGCUAUGUUAGCCGGGCGACGGUUGUCCCGGUUUAAGCAUGUAGGCUG